rnacentral:rRNA from 1 species
UACGUAGGGUGCGAGCGUUGUCCGGAAUUAUUGGGCGUAAAGGGCUCGUAGGCGGUCUGUCGCGUCGGGAGUGAAAACUCAGGGCUUAACCCUGAGCCUGCUUCCGAUACGGGCAGACUAGAGGUAUGCAGGGGAGAACGGAAUUCCUGGUGUAGCGGUGGAAUGCGCAGAUAUCAGGAAGAACACCCGUGGCUAAGGCGGCUCUCUAGUACGGUACUGACGCUGAGACGCGAAAGCGUGGGGAGCGAACAGG